GAUGAACGCUGGCGGCGUGCCUAAUACAUGCAAGUCGAGCGAACAGACGAGGAGCUUGCUCCUCUGACGUUAGCGGCGGACGGGUGAGUAACACGUGGAUAACCUACCUAUAAGACUGGGAUAACUUCGGGGAACCCGGACCAAUUACCGGUUAAUAUAUUAAACCCCUUGGUUCAAUAGUGAAAGCCGGUUUUGCUGUCACUUAUAGAUGGAUCCGCGCCGCAUAACUUAGUUGGUAAGGUAACGGCUUACCAAGGCAACGAUGCGUAGCCGACCUGAAAGGGUGAUCGGCCACACUGGAACUGAGACACGGUCCAGACUCCUACGGGAAGCAGCAGUAGGGAAUCUUCCGCAAUGGGCGAAAGCUUGACGGAGCAACGCCGCGUGAGUGAUGAAGGUCUUCGGAUCGUAAAACUCUGUUAUUAGGGAAGAACAAAUGUGUAAGUGACUAUGCACGUCUUGACGGUACCUAAUCAGAAAGCCACGGCUAACUACGUG
rnacentral:rRNA from 1 species